UGACAACCGCUCGUUCAACAGAUUAUUUCAUAAUUUAACAUCCCAAAUCCAAACUAUACGAAUUACUCUUAAACAUUCCAAAUUACAUAUCCUGUUUUUAUAAUGGAAAGAAGUACAUGAGCAUGGUUUUUUUUUUCGUUUUCAAUCACAAAAUAAAACCUUCAUUGUCAAAGAAUAUACAAAACCAGAAAUUAGUCAUCACAUACUAUUGAAAGUAACACACUUAGUGAAUCUGCCUUAGAACAUUAUAACCAUCCGAAUUAAAUGUCAAAAUGCAGCAGCAUGAGCUGAAUCUAUUCAGAUGCCUAAACCAACAUUUAAAAGCGAUGAAAAACCAUAGAUUAACAGUCCAUUCCAAGCACAUGAUAAGAAUAUUUAUAUCCAAAUAAAAUUAAAUUGAUAGAACAACAACAACAACAACAACCACAACUACCCAGUAUACUCCCACCAGGUGGGGUCUGGGGAGGGUAAUAUGUAGGCAGUCUUACCCCUACCCAAAAGGGCAGAGAGGCUGCUUCCAUGGGACCUAAAUUGAUAGAACCUAAGGUUUAAAUAUAAACUCAAUACAUAUAUUUACCUUCAUGAUAUAAAUGAAUACAAGAAAGGAUGCAAUGAAACAUAAACUGAUGCAUAUGUAUUCAACUAAACUAAUAUCUGCAUCUUCAACAAAGUUCAAGUUCAAGCUUCAUAUAUUGACAAAAGGUCCAAAGAGGUACCUAGUUACAACAAAGAACAACAAGGGAAAAUAAACUUAAAGUUGAAAAAAACCCGCAACAAGGUAUCAGCAGCAUUAACACUGUCAAAUAGCAACCAAAUCAGUCCUUCCAAGCUAUUUUUUUAACCUAGAAUGAACCAGAAAACUAUCGAAAGGUUUCAGACUUGUAAAGAUAACAACAAAAACAAGCUAAUUUCUAUCAAAAUGCAAAGGAUUUGUAGUAUUCUACACUCAUCCGUAUUUUCAUUUUUUAGGAAUUUUUCAGUAUCUAACCUCAGACUUGUGAGUGAAGAAAAAGUGCUUUUAUAGGCAAGUCUUAGGACAACAGAAAUAAAUUAAGUUUUUGGACUUUAAACCUUUGCAAUUUUCAUUUUUACUGUUGUGCCCUUAGUUAAAAAAUCAGGUUUUUAAAUUAGUCCCAAAGCCCCCUUCCAAGAAGCUUCCUAAAUCAGUUAUAUAAGAUUUCCUAAGCUACAAUUCCUAAAUUAACCCUUAGGACCCAUGUUUUUAUCCCAGGAACCCAGGUCCAAAUUCUCAAAUUGCUAGCCAAACUGGAUUGAAUUCUUUUCUUGGGCUUCUAAUUUAACAUAGUCUCAAUUAAAAUUUAAAAGCUAAAAAACUCUCAAAUGUUCACUUACGGAGUCAUGAGGUCUUGUGAAAUUUUAGGCCUAAAAAGAAAAAUAUAAACAGAAUUACACUGGAACACAUUAGCACAAAACGCACUAAUUAAAGAAAAAAGGUUUAAAACUAACAUGCAUAUCCACAUGACUUGAAGAACAAGAAUAAAUAAGAAAAGAAUCAGGAAGAAGAGAGGGAAGCAGAAGAUAAUUAGGUUGGAGAUGGAAAAUGAAAAAUGAAGAAAAGAUAAGGAAAAAAAAAAGGAAAAAUAUCUAAAAGAAAGGCUCGAACAGUAAAAGAAACUGAAACGUCUUCAUGUCUUCAAAUUUAGGCCGAGUUUGACUUUAAUCGUGUGUUCUUGUCAAGAGCGCAUGAAUAAGAUCCAACUAGACCUUAAUUCUUCUCUGGAAUCUUGAUUUGGGGUUUUUUGUGAUUUUAGGGCUCGACUUUAGAUUCGAUAUUCGAAGAGUUUCAGAAAUAUUCGAAGAAAUGAGUGAUGAUUUGGUAUGGGGAGGUGAAGGAGAGUCUUAGUGUAGAUUUGGGGUGGAUUGGGGGCGGCGUUGCCGGCUUGAGGUGGUGGAGAAAUGGGGCGGUGCUAGGGUUCUUGUUCGGUCUCUGAAGAGAAGGGGAGAUGAGAGAGAUGAGUUAGAGGGU
rnacentral:lncRNA from 1 species